rnacentral:rRNA from 1 species
GAUCAUGGCGUCAGGACGAACGCUGGCGGCACGCUUAACACAUGCAAGUCGAACGGAGUUAUCGAGAGCUUGCUUUGAUAACUUAGUGGCGGACGGGUGAGUAACACGUGAGCAAUCUGCCCUUAAGAGGGGGAUAGCAGUUGGAAACGACUGAUAAUACCGCAUAAGAUAGUAGUACCGCAUGGUACAGCUAUAAAAGAUUUAUCGCUUAAGGAUGAGCUCGCGUCUGAUUAGCUAGUUGGUGAGGUAACGGCUCACCAAGGCAACGAUCAGUAGCCGGACUGAGAGGUUGGACGGCCACAUUGGGACUGAGACACGGCCCAGACUCCUACGGGAGGCAGCAGUGGGGAAUAUUGCACAAUGGAGGAAACUCUGAUGCAGCGAUGCCGCGUGAGGGAAGAAGGUUUUAGGAUUGUAAACCUCUGUUGACAGGGACGAUAAUGACGGUACCUGUUGAGGAAGCUCCGGCUAACUACGUGCCAGCCGCCGC